UACGUAGGGAGCAAGCGUUGUCCGGAAUCAUUGGGCGUAAAGCGCGCGUAGGCGGCUACUUAAGUCGGAUGUGAAAGCCCUUGGCUCAACUGAGGAAGUGCACCCGAAACUGAGUGGCUAGAGUACGAAAGAGGGUCGCGGAAUUCCCGGUGUAGAGGUGAAAUUCGUAGAUAUCGGGAGGAACACCGGUGGCGAAGGCGGCGACCUGGGUCGAUACUGACGCUGAUGCGCGAAAGCGUGGGGAGCAAACAGG
rnacentral:rRNA from 1 species